GACGAACGCUGGCGGCGUGCCUAACACAUGCAAGUCGAACGGAGUUAAGUUUGACACCGAACGUUUCGUUUGGUGAAAGCACCUGAGGAAACAUUGGGUGUUAAACUUAGCUUAGUGGCGGACGGGUGAGUAACGCGUGAGUAACCUGCCUUUCAGAGGGGGAUAACGUUCGGAAACGAACGCUAAUACCGCAUGAUAUAUUUGGGCUGCAUGGCUCGGAUAUCAAAGGAGCAAUCCGCUGAAAGAUGGACUCGCGUCCGAUUAGCUAGUUGGUGAAAUAAAGGCCCACCAAGGCGACGAUCGGUAGCCGGACUGAGAGGUUGAACGGCAACAUUGGGACUGAGACACGGCCCAGACUCCUACGGGAGGCAGCAGUGGGGGAUAUUGCACAAUGGAGGAAACUCUGAUGCAGCAACGCCGCGUGAGGGAAGUAGGUUUUCGGAUUGUAAACCUCUGUCCUUGGUGACGAAAAAAAUGACGGUAGCCAAGGAGGAAGCUCCGGCUAACUACGUGCCAGCCGCCGCGGUAA
rnacentral:rRNA from 1 species